rnacentral:rRNA from 1 species
AGAGUUUGAUUAUGGCUCAGGAUGAACGCUGGCGGCGUGCCUAACACAUGCAAGUCGAACGGACUUAUUUUGGAAACUCCUUCGGGAGCGGAAUCUAUAAGUUAGUGGCGGACGGGUGAGUAACGCGUGAGCAAUCUGCCUCGGAGUGGGGGAUAACAGCCGGAAACGGCUGCUAAUACCGCAUAAUGCAUUGGAAUCGCAUGGUUUUAAUGCCAAAGGCUUGUCUGCUCUGAGAUGAGCUCGCGUCUGAUUAGCUAGUUGGCGGGGUAACGGCCCACCAAGGCGACGAUCAGUAGCCGGACUGAGAGGUUGAACGGCCACAUUGGGACUGAGACACGGCCCAG